ACCAUAUUGAACAGCCCUAUAUGCGGCGAUCUCCGUAUAAAUAUGUGUGAGUAGUCUUCCCUUUGAUCUCAUCUUAUCUUCGUAACACUAAAAUCUCAUACUCAUCACUUUCAACAUGGCUAAUACUAGGGUUUUUUUCUCCGAUCUGGGUCGGAUGUGAAUUCGACCAUGAUGCAAGCGACCAUGAUAUAUCUCUAAUCAUAAGUUUUUGCUAUCUCCACAUCUCUCUGCUACUCAUCUCUCUGCUAUCUCCACAACUUUCCUAAAGCUUUAGAGAGAUCUAAAAAUCUCGACAGCCAUGGAACCACCAAAUCCCAGAGGAUUAUGAUCCAGCCAAUCGUAUAUUUCCUUGGAUAUUUUCCUUCUUCAUAUGUGUUGUUAUGACUACUUUCUCUGUUUUCUUUGAUUGAAUUUUGCUAUUUUUUUUUCAAAACAAAAAAAAUUGCUUUAUUUUCUGGUGGUUUCGUGGCAGCUCCAUAACUUGAGUUUUAGGGGUUUUCAAAGUAAACUUCGAAUCAAUAUUUGGCUAUUUGACCGGAAAGAUCUGAAGACUGAAGAAAUAAUUAAUUGUUCAGGAAUUCAUGGUGUUCUUUGUGCGGCUGAAUUCAUGUAGUACAAACACUACUGAGUAAUUUCAUCAAUACACUACUGAGGAAUUCAUGGUGUUCUUUGUUCAGAAAGUUGUUUCACAUUUUAUUUUUCUUGCAUAUUCAAUUCAUGUCCACUGGCCACUAGACUAACUUAAGGUUAUGUUCUUGAUUCAUCUGUCCCCUUCACAUUAUGUAUCUGAGGUUGAUCAAAAUUACAUGUUUAUGGUGACAGGGCCUAGGUUUUGAUGCCCGCAUAAGCUACAUAGAUGGUGCUUAUGAUACUUUUCAGCUGGCCACACUAAGCUAUAUGUUAAUUUAGUGCAGACAUAUUAAUCUUUAUGCUUUUCAUUUUCCCUGUUUUUUGUUGAUAGAAUUUGAGCGCUAAUAUGUAAUUGACUACAUAGAUCUUCAAAACUAUAUUUUUGAAAUGAGAAGAGAGUUUAUUUUUAACAACUUA